CGUGAAUUAAUGUGAAUUGCAGGACACAUUGAACAUCGAUAUCUUGAACGCAUAUUGCGGGCCUCGGGCAAUCCCGAGGCCAAGCCUGUCUCAGGGUCGGUUGAAUUACAAUCGCGGGUCGCACUCUGCCCGCGCAUUGGGCUGUCUCGGACGCUUGGCCGGUCGUCUCUNUCGUUCGGUCGCACUCUGCCGAUCGGGAGACGCGCACACACACGGCCGUCGUCGUUCGAGUCGCCUCAAGUCUAGACGUGCGGUCGCUCGUCCGAUAUCAGCCGCGGUCAAUAGCGGUCGUCGGACGGGACGGUGACUCGGUACUCUUUGAGCCAUCCGCCCUUCCGUCGUCGUCGUAUCGGACGGGCGCGCGACCGCAUCGGAAUCGAAACAUACCGUUCGCUCUCGCGGACGAAUCUCAUUCGUUCUCGACCUGAGAUCAGACU
rnacentral:misc_RNA from 1 species